GUUGGUGAAUGUAAUUUUAAGCAAAUUUUUGUUGAGAAAAAGUUUAUCACAUCACGAAGGCCAAAGGAACACCAAGAAUUUUGACAAAUGGAUGAGGAUUUAUUAAUGCAUCAGUCAGAAGCUCAAGAUAUCGAAGCAAGUGGAUCGGAUAUGGCUUUAAUUUCUCAAGAACACACUAGAUCAGGCAUGACCGAAAGUGAGAGACUUCUCCCCACAUAGUGUGUGUAGUACCAUUUAAGUGUGGUGUCCAUCCAUAUUUCACAUCCGCUGGCCUGUCUACAGAUGUCAACUUUUAGUACUUUGGACUGUAUCCUCCUUGCAUCUUCAGAUUAUAUAUACAACUCAAGGAUGCAGUCAUGAUGCAAAUGUAGACCAGUUUUUCAUUGCUGGAGAAGUGGAAGAGGAGAGCAAGAAACUGGUAAAGCUCGAGAAAUACAUGUGGCUGUUGGACAGCCUCAAACACUUAAAUUCUAUAACUAUUGGUUUUCUUUAGCCUUAAGCAAUCUAGCAACAUCUACUUUUCUGGAUGGUUUCGGUGUACAACAUACUUUAUGCCCUUUUUUUAACUAUCUGAUGUUCUGUACAGGAACUAAAAACCUUCAGGAUUUAUAGCCAUGUUGUAUAUCGGAUGUUCUGUACAGGAACUAAAAACUUCAGGAUUUGUAGCUAUAUUGUACAGGGUCCUGUACACAGUAUAACGCUUAGCAGUAAGGGUAUGUUAACGUAUACUAGAUGGAUAUAGAUGGAAUUAUUGAAAUUAUGAUUUGUACAAUUAAAGCUGUAAACCUCUAUAACAGGUUGCUGAGUGCAGACAUGUGUAUACACACACGCACAUUUUCCAGUAUUCAAUGCCAGGGGUGUAGUAAUGCUGUGUAGUCAACCUUGCUUCAGGGAUAAUACCUUGCCUUUGGUAUAG